ACGCUAGCGAUAGGCUUAACACAUGCAAGUCGAGGGGCAGCAUGGUCUUAGCUUGCUAAGACUGAUGGCGACCGGCGCACGGGUGCGUAACGCGUAUGCAACUUGCCUCACAGAGGGGGAUAACCCGUCGAAAGACGGACUAAUACCGCGUACACUCUAUGUUGGGCAUCCAAUGUAGAGGAAAUGAACUUCGCUGUGAGAUAGGCAUGCGUCCCAUUAGCUAGUUGGUGAGGUAACGGCUCACCAAGGCGACGAUGGGUAGGGGAACUGAGAGGUUGAACCCCCACACUGGUACUGAGACACGGACCAGACUCCUACGGGAGGCAGCAGUGAGGAAUAUUGGUCAAUGGGCGAGAGCCUGAACCAGCCAAGUCGCGUGAAGGAUGACUGUCUUAUGGAUUGUAAACUUCUUUUAUACGGGAAUAACAAGAGUCACGUGUGACUCCCUGCAUGUACCGUAUGAAUAAGCAUCGGCUAACUCCGUGCCAGCAGCCGCGGUAAUACGGAGGAUGCGAGCGUUAUCCGGAUUUAUUGGGUUUAAAGGGUGCGUAGGCGGCCUGUUAAGUCAGCGGUGAAAUCUAGGAGCUUAACUCCUAAAUUGCCAUUGAUACUGGCGGGCUUGAGUGUAGAUGAGGUAGGCGGAAUGCGUGGUGUAGCGGUGGAAUGCAUAGAUAUCACGCAGAACUCCGAUUGCGAAGGCAGCUUACUAAGGUACAACUGACGCUGAAGCACGAAAGCGUGGGUAUCAAACAGGAUUAGAUACCCUGGUAGUCCACGCAGUAAACGAUGAUAACUGGGCGUAUGCGAUAUACAGUAUGCUCCUAAGCGAAAGCGUUAAGUUAUCCACCUGGGGAGUACGCCGGCAACGGUGAAACUCAAAGGAAUUGACGGGGGCCCGCACAAGCGGAGGAACAUGUGGUUUAAUUCGAU
rnacentral:rRNA from 1 species